UAUGCUUUGUCUCUCAUUUGGUCCCAUAACAACAACUCAUAGCUCUCUUUCACCAAUAAUCCAAGUAGCCUAUGGUUUCUUGCAUAUCCUUUGAUCUAUGUAUAUAUAUAUCUGCUGCUAAGAGAAUUUAGGAUCAACACAAACCAUUCACAUCCAGAAGCAUUCAAAAUUCAGAAGUUUAUACUUAAGUCCUUUCUUAGACCAUUCUCUUCUCCAGUCUCUAACACAAUCAAUAUAACAAUGGGUUUUCGUUUUCCUCUCAUGAGAAGGACAUUAUUUGCUGGAAAUCACAUAUCUUCUAAAGCAGUGGAUGUGCCAAAGGGCUAUUUUGCAGUCUAUGUUGGAGAGAAAAUGAAGCGGUUUGUGAUUCCUCUAUCAUUCUUGAACCAACCAUCUUUCCGAGAAUUGUUGAGUCAAGCUGAAGAGGAGUUUGGGUAUAAUCAUCCCAUGGGUUGCCUCACAAUUCCUUGCAGCGAAGAUAGCUUCCAACAUAUAACUUCAUGCUUGAAUGUGAUAUAAAUCUCACACUUUAGAAGACUGACAUAGAUUAGUAGAAACUUUUUGUGCAGUAGAAUGACUAAUCAAGAGUAUGCUCUCUCUCUCUUUUCUUGCAUUAUAACAAUGAAUUGAAUUAUUCAAAUGGCUUCUUUGUGUUUUCUGUCCGAUAGUUACAAUGUUUAAUUGUUGAUUUGUCCCUUAAAUAAAAGAAAAAUCUCAAAUCAUGAGUAAGGCUGCUUGAUCUAGGAAAAACUACACUUGGCUGAACUAAUAAAUUUUGAUAGCCGGAACAGAACAUGAGCAAGAGUAUAUUUCUGAGGAGUUAGGAACAUACAGAAAGAUAAUAUACUCAGGAGGAAGUUAAAAUUAUUUUUUCUUAUAAACCAAAAAUAUGUUCAAGAUUAUACAUAUGAAAUUAAGAUUUUUGAGGAGCAUUGACCCAGAUCAUACAUGAAGUGCCUUCUCUGCCUGGGUAGGUCCACAAUAACAUUGGCAUUGGGGUAUUUACAACAACAAAGACUUAUCCCAAUAGGUGAGAUCAGUUAUAUGAAUCAGAUAACGCUAUUUGGCUACAUGCAUCAUAGCCAUGCCUUAAAUUUCCAAAGUUCAAUGAUCAGUUUUUCUCUCUCUCAGGUUUGAGAGCUACUUGUGUUUUAAGAUCAACCGAAGUUCCACCAGAACUUUAAAUUUCUCACUCUAAAUAGUGCAAGUGGAAAUCGAAAAAAAAAAUAAAAAUCUCUAGGUGAUUUGGGAAACCAAAAUAUCUAUAUUUACUAGCCUAUAGGCUAUUUGAGCAAUCUCUUUAAAGAUUGCCUUGUAUCUAAGCAAUUCAUAGCAAGAAUGUAUGAAACUCAAACUUUGGAUUGGUUCUAUCAACUGGAUAUUCAUCUAGUAAGAGAAACUGAGAAAUCAAUAUAAAUCCAAUUUUAAUUUUUGUAUCUUUCAGUUAUAAGUAACAGUCUACACAACAUUCAAGUGUUGUGUUGUGGGGACUAUGUAGUGGAUGCUCCUUUUGCACCACUUUUAUCACGUGGAGGGUGAAACGGAUCUGCAUAAACACUCCACAGUAGACAUUUCUUUUACUGUAUUAGUUAUCAGAAAGUGGUAGUUCAUUAACUUGAAGAACCAAUGUAUAUGUUUUGAGCCUGUCUGGAACACAAGCAGAAGGCCAUUAUAUUGGUUAUGCAAUUAUUUGCUUAUUGGCUGUAAAGUCUCUUUCUGAAGUGCAACCAGGUUGGCAUAGUUCUCAAUUCUCAAAGUAAUCGUUCACUAAAAUCAUGUAGGCAAUAUCAUGUGACAACUCAUUAGCCCCUGUCUCUCACUAGACCCCAUCAAGCAUCAAAUUGCCCAACAACCAUUGAGUUCAUCAGAGAACCGGGUUCACACAGACUCGUAGUAUAUCUAUCUAUAUAUAUAUACACUCACAAUGACAUUCUCAAGCAAGGCAAGCCAAUCACAAAGAACUCAAGCAUUUCUUCACACACAAGCUCUUGCAUUGUUUGGUAUUGUUCUCUGUGCAAUUCAACUCAAAAAACAAUGGGCUUCCGCUUACCCGGUAUUAGAAGAUCAUCUUUUGCUGUCACCAAAGCAGCUUCCAAGGCUAUGGAGGUCCCAAAAGGCUAUCUAGCAGUCUAUGCUGGAGAGAAAAUGAAGCGGUUCGUGAUUCCUAUUUCAUUCUUGAAUCAACCUUUAUUUCAAGAAUUGUUGAGCCAAGCUGAGGAAGAAUUCGGGUAUGACCAUCCAAUGGGUGGUAUCACAAUUCCUUGCAGGGAAGAUGCUUUCUUAGAUCUCACUUCUCGUUUGAAUAGGCUAUAAAUCAUAUUGGAGGAGACUCACGUAGAUUAGUUGAGACAAACUGUACAGAAGACAAUUUUAUUUAUUCAUUAUCCUUCUUUUGUAAGUGGAAAAAACCAUCUAAGUGAGAAAGUUUACAGAAAUGUCAUAUUUCUUUUUUGGUGAAGUUUCAAUGAAUUUUGCCUAUACAAUUUCUCUGCCAAAUUUUGUUUGGAGUAACUAUAGUUUGACAUACAUUAAAAAAUUUUGUAUUUGUAACAGAGAAGAAAAAGUAAAAAGUUGUAAAUCAUAGAUAAAUGUAAAAAAAUUUCUACG
rnacentral:lncRNA from 1 species